rnacentral:rRNA from 1 species
CAGUAGCCGCGGUAAUACGAAGGGUGCAAGCGUUACUCGGAAUUACUGGGCGUAAAGCGUGCGUAGGUGGUGGUUUAAGUCCGUUGUGAAAGCCCUGGGCUCAACCUGGGAAUUGCAGUGGAUACUGGGUCACUAGAGUGUGGUAGAGGUUAGUGGAAUUUCCGGUGUAGCAGUGAAAUGCGUAGAGAUCGGAAGGAACAUCUGUGGCGAAGGCGACUAUCUGGGCCAACACUGACACUGAGGCACGAAAGCGUGGGGAGCAAACAGGAUUAGAUACCCCUGUAGUCCCUGUCUCUUAUAC